rnacentral:lncRNA from 1 species
CAGCUUCUCUAAUAGUUCGUCGCUUAAAGAAGAUCCAACUUGGAUAGUUUUAGUCGAGUCUUCAUUAUUGAGAGGCACUGAGAUGAGUUGCUCUGUGGAUUCUCUCUGACUUUCUUCUUCUCUUUGAUCCAGUCCAUCAUCGAUAGAAAGAUCUUCAGUUGAUCUUUUUUCUUUGAUCACAGUUAAAUAAUAUUAUCAGACCAACUAUUGAUCUCCUCUCAUUUCAUUAGUUUCUUUUCUCAUCG